CUACGGGAGGCUGCAGUGAGGAAUUUUGCGCAAUGGGGGAAACCCUGACGCAGCAACGCCGCGUGAGUGAAGAAGGCUUUCGGGUCGUAAAGCUCUGUCAGAUAGGAAAAAAGUUCAUAUGUAAAUAGCUUAUGAAUCUGAUGGUACUAUCAGAGGAAGCACCGGCUAACUCCGUGCCAGCAGCCGCGGUAAUACGGAGGGUGCAAGCGUUGUUCGGAAUUACUGGGCGUAAAGGGCGUGUAGGCGGUAUGGUAAGUCAGAUGUGAAAGCCCUGGGCUUAACUCAGGAAGUGCAUUUGAUACUGCCAUCCUUGAGUAUGGGAGAGAAGAGAAGAAUUCCCAGUGUAGAGGUGAAAUUCGUAGAUAUUGGGAGGAAUACCCGUGGCGAAGGCGACUCUCUGGACGAAGACUGACGCUCAGGUGCGAAAGCGUGGGGAGCAAACAGGAUUAGAUACCCUUGUAGUC
rnacentral:rRNA from 1 species